GAACAUCAAAGUUAGACUUCGAGAAACACACGAAGAGAGAGAGAGAGAGUAUGCGAAAUAGAACAUACGGUAAAGUACCGUAGAAAAAAGACAAGAAGAUAC
rnacentral:ribozyme from 1 species